rnacentral:rRNA from 1 species
UUCCGGUUCAUCCUGCGGACCUGACUGCUAUCGGAUUGAUACUAAGCCAUGCGAGUCUUUGUAGUAAUACAAGGCAGACGGCUCAGUAACACGUAGUCAACUACCCUAUGGACGAGAAUAAUCUCGGGAAACUGAGCAUAAUUCUCGAUAGAUCAUAAUGCCUGGAAUGGUUUAUGGUUAAAAUGAUUCGUCGCCAUAGGAUGGGACUGCGGCCUAUCAGCUUGUUGGUGAGGUAAUGGCCCACCAAGGCGAUUACAGGUACGGGCUCUGAGAGGAGAAGCCCGGAGAUGGGUACUGAGACACGGACCCAGGCCCUAUGGGGCGCAGCAGGCGAGAAAACUUUGCAAUGUGCGAAAGCACGACAAGGUUAAUCCGAGUGAUUUCUGCUAAAGAAAUCUUUUGUCAGUCAUAAAACCACUGGCGAAUAAGGGGUGGGCAAGUUCUGGUGUCAGCCGCCGCGGUAAAACCAGCACCUCAAGUGGUCAGGAUGAUUAUUGGGCCUAAAGCAUCCGUAGCCGGCUUUGUUAGUUUUCGGUUAAAUCCAUGUGCUCAACACAUGGGCUGCCGAAAAUACUGCAUAUCUAGGGAGUGGGAGAGGUAGACGGUACUCAGUAGGAAGGGGUAAAAUCCUUUGAUCUAUUGAUGACCACCUGUGGCGAAGGCGGUCUACCAGAACACGUUCGACGGUGAGGGAUGAAAGCUGGGGGAGCAAACCGGAUUAGAUACCCGGGUAGUCCCAGCUGUAAACGAUGCAGACUCGAUGAUGCAUUGGCAUAAUAGCCAGUGCAGUGUCGCAGGGAAGCCGUUAAGUCUGCCGCCUGGGAAGUACGUACGCAAGUAUGAAACUUAAAGGAAUUGGCGGGGGAGCACCACAAGGGGUGAAGCCUGCGGUUCAAU